UGGUAUUUCCUCUACAAGUCCCAAUUCAUAGAUUUCCCAGAUUCAUUAAGACCAAAAAGUUAUUCAUGGUCAAAGUAGCCCCCUUGAACUGUCUCUGACAGUGUUCUUGAGAUGAAGAACACCUAUAGCGACGGUUGUCUGUCGCUAUAGCCUUUAGCGACGGAUUUUAUUUAUUUUAUUUUCUGUAAUUUUCGAAAAUGAUUUAAAAAUUAGAAAAAUU
rnacentral:lncRNA from 1 species